rnacentral:lncRNA from 1 species
AUGUAUUAUUGUCAUUUUGUUUAUUUUCUUUGGUUACAUCUUCUGACAUCAGACUCGGACUUCUCUUGAACUGAAUUUUAAUGUGUGUAUUGUUAUGUGUUUACUUUUCUAAAUUGACUAGAGGUAUAGGGGGAGGGUUGAGAUCUCAAAACAUGUUUAACCCCGCCGCAUGUUUGCGCCUGUCCCAAGUCAGGAGCCUCUGGCCUUUGUUAGUCUUGUAUUAUUUUAAUUUUAGUUUCUUGUGUAC